UACAUAGGGUGCGAGCGUUAUUCGGAAUUACUGGGCGUAAAGCGUGCGUAGACGGUUAUUUAAGUCGGAUGUGAAAGCCCCGGGCUCAACCUGGGAAUUGCAUUCGAGACUGAAUAGCUAGGGUACGGUAGAGGGAAGUGGAAUUUCCGGUGUAGCGGUGAAAUGCGUAGAUAUCGGAAGGAACAUCAGUGGCGAAAGCGACUUCCUGGACCAGUACCGACGUUCAGGCACGAAAGCGUGGGGAGCAAACAGG
rnacentral:rRNA from 1 species